AUUGAACGCUGGCGGCAUGCUUUACACAUGCAAGUCGAACGGUAACAGGCCGCAAGGUGCUGACGAGUGGCGAACGGGUGAGUAAUGCAUCGGAACGUGCCCAGUCGUGGGGGAUAACUGCUCGAAAGAGCAGCUAAUACCGCAUACGAUCUAUGGACGAAAGCGGGGGACCGUAAGGCCGCGCGCGAUUGGGGCGGCCGAUGUCAGAUUAGGUAGUUGGUGGGGUAAAGGCCCACCAAGCCAACGAUCUGUAGCUGGUCUGAGAGGAAGACCAGCCAAACUGGGACUGAGACACGGCCCAGACGCCUACGGGAGGCAGCAGUGGGGAAUUUUGGACAAUGGGCGCAAGCCUGAUCCAGCCAUGCCGCGUGCGGGAAGAAGGCAUUCGGGUUGUAAACCGCUUUUGUCAGGGAAGAAACGCUCUGGGUUAAUACCUCGGGGUAAUGACGGUACCUGAAGAAUAAGCACCGGCUAACUACGUGCCAGCCGCCGCUGUAACAC
rnacentral:rRNA from 1 species